GAUCUCCAGAACAAGUUUAUGGGGGUCACUGGAGUACGUGUGAACCAUGAUAGAGGUCGGUUUUAAGCGACUGGUGCAUUACAUCUUUAGCUCUGCAAAUGGUCUCACUCAUAAUGUCCCACCAAUCAUAUUCUACAUGUGGUCAUAUUGCAAUUGGUGUGUUCUACAAUUUUUCUACAGGAUGAUGUGUGCUACGAAGAGUGCCUAUAUCUCCCUCAACACCAGUUUCUUCGAGGGAGGGCCUUCUGUAACCGGCGCUGCUCCCAUGGCGGUGGUAUUUUCUUGCAUGUGUUGCAAUCAGUCGCUAGAGUCCCCAUCAUUACAAGCUGCAUUCUAUGAACCUGAACCUUAAUAUUGAACGAUCCAAAUGUUGGAGGAUUCAGUCCCGUUUUGGGCAAACUGAAACUCCAUCUCGGUGGACAUAAUGAAAAUUAGAACAAGCUCUAAUGUUUGAGCCUAUACUUAAUAGUUCUGUUAGCGCUGCCAGGAAAAAGAUAUUGAACCUUACAACGUAUCUGUUUGCACUAGGCAUUUAUCCCUGUACACAUUGAACAAAGUCACUGGUACUUAGCAAUCAUAAAUGCCAAGAAACGUGAGAUACAAGUUAUUGAUUCAUUGGGAUUAGUGCAUCGUGAUGAACUAAUAUAUGCAGUUCAGGGGGCUGCAGAGACAGAUUGAUAUAGCAUUAGGAGUUACAAAGGUUACAAAGAUUGCAGGGUUCAAGUGGCCUGACCUAAAGGUUAAAUCAUGGCCUAUUGGUGUACACAGAAGUUGAGGGAGAAGUAUGGAUGGAUCUCGCCCAGAAAUUUGGUGUACACAGAAAGUUGGCUUGCUAAUUAUUACUUUUUGACAGGCUUUCAUUCUAUGAGUUCCUCUAGUUGUUCUAGUGAAUCUGGAGGCACAUCUCAGUCUGAAAAUAUCAUGGUUGUUGAUGAGUCUAGUGAUGAUGAUGAUGAUUUCAUGGUAGCAAUGGUUGCUUUGGAUUGGAUGGCAUCAGGCAAUUUGCACAGGAAGACAAUACAUAAUUCUUCAUUGCCUGUCAUGACUGGAUUACAAUGGGUUGAGGUAACACUACAAAAUCCAGUUGACUGUUAUGACAUGUUCAGAAUGCGAAGGUUAGUUUUCUUAAGGCUUCAUGACACCUUGGUACAGAAUUAUGGAUUGAGAUCAAGUAGAAGAUAUUGUAGCAAGGAAGCCUUAGGAAUGUUUUUAUGGGCUUGUGGUGCACAUCAAUCUUUUAGGCAAUGCAGGAACAAAUUUCGUCGAUCAUUAGAAAUUGUUAGUAGAAAAUUUACAUAAGUUCUUGAAUCCAUUGUGAGACUAGCUUUUGAUAUUGUGAGGCCAAAAGAUCCACAAUUUGGUACAAUCCAUCCUAAACUGCAAGAGGCUAGAUUCUGGCCGCAUGUCGAAGAUUGCAUAGAUGCAAUAGAUGGUACUCAUAUACCAAUAACUGUGCCAUUAAGUGACCAACCCAAGUACAUUAGCCGCCAUGGGUAUGCCUCACAAAAUGUGAUGGCGGUAUGUGACUUUGAUAUGCGGUUCAUAUUUGUUGUCACUAGUUGGCCUGGAUCUGUUCAUGACACUCGUGUAUUAUUGGAUACGCUGCUCACAUGCAAGGAUCAAUUUCCACAUCCUCCUGAUGGUAAGAACAAGCUACCCAAAAAAAAAA